GUGGAUUAGAUACCCUAGUAGUCCACGCUGUAAACGAUGUCAACUAGCUGUUGGCUAUAUGAAUAUAGUUAGUGGCGCAGCAAACGCGAUAAGUUGACCGCCUGGGGAGUACGGUCGCAAGAUUAAAACUCAAAGGAAUUGACGGGGGCCCGCACAAGCGGUGGAGCAUGUGGUUUAAUUCGAUGCAACGCGAAGAACCUUACCUACCCUUGACAUACAGUGGAACUUGCAGAGAUGUGAGUGUGCCUUCGGGAACACUGAUACAGGUGCUGCACGGCUGUCGACAGCU
rnacentral:rRNA from 1 species